rnacentral:rRNA from 1 species
UAGGGAAUCUUCCGCAAUGGGCGAAAGCCUGACGGAGCAAUGCCGCGUGAGUGAAGAAGGCCUUCGGGUCGUAAAACUCUGUUAUAAGAGAAGAACAAAUUGUAGAGUAACUGCUACAGUCUUGACGGUAUCUUAUCAGAAAGCCACGGCUAACUACGUGCCAGCAGCCGCGGUAAUACGUAGGUGGCAAGCGUUGUCCGGAUUUAUUGGGCGUAAAGGGAGCGCAGGUGGUUUCUUAAGUCUGAUGUGAAAGCCCACGGCUUAACCGUGGAGGGUCAUUGGAAACUGGGAAACUUGAGUACAGAAGAGGAAUGUGGAACUCCAUGUGUGGCGGUGGAAUGCGUAGAUAUAUGGAAGAACACCAGUGGCGAAGGCGACAUUCUGGUCUGUUACUGACACUGAGGCUCGAAAGCGUGGGGAGCAAACAGG